rnacentral:lncRNA from 10 species
CUGCCGACUUUUCUUUCACUUUCACUUAGAGCAAGAUGGCAGCCCGCGUCCCUGUGUGAAGCCGUCUGCAGCAGCUGCCAGAGCCCUGCUUGCUGUUUCCUUUCUCACCACCCACCUCACCCGGAAAUCCCCUGGUGAUUUCAAGACCUGACCUCUGCACCCUUUUGCUCCCCACCUGUCCCAAAAAAGUGGAGCUAUAACUGUGGGAAAAGGGGAUCUGAAGUCAGACACAGGAUCCACAGUAGCCUGGGGACCUUUCUCACCCCCGCCCUUAAGCAGGCCCCAACAUAACCGGCUGAGAAACCUCCUCUGCCAGAUCCUGACCUGAGCCAGGAGGCGGCCAGGAAACUGGAUUUUGGGACUGGGAUUUCAGAGAGGAAGCUGGAGAGCUGCAGGGUGGUCAUCUGUCACUUUAUUUUGCCCGUCUUGUAGCAUUCUCGAAAAGGCACUCUGUCACGUGUACACAGGAAAGGGCCCUGACAAGAGGAUGGGACUGCAGUUGUGGCUGCCAGGGCCCCGGCCAGGGUGAAAACAAGGAACAUUCCAGAGAAGAUCACAAGGAUGCGAAUAAAAUCGGAGCUGCACAGGGAUCUUUGGGCUGAGCUUUCUGUCUGGCUUCCCUCCUGGCCCCUCGUGUAUGCAUUCUCUCUAGCGGUGGGGAUUAAGGAGAAAACUCACGUGGCCAGUGGGUAGAGAGAGUCCGGGCAGGCAGCUGCCUGAAGUCAGCCAGAGUCUGCAUGUGCCCAGCUGUCCUGGCCUCCAGCAUCUCUGGAAAAACAGAGACAGAAUGAGUAGCAGCAGGGGACCCCAUAGGGCACAUCUGAAGGCCUGAGAGGUGCUGGAUGGGAUGGGAAGGCAGAAACAGGCUGACCUUAUCUAGGGGUAGGAGUGGGGAGUACUGGUUGGGGUAUCACCGCUACCCCACGUGAUGGCACAGAGAGUUGCCUGGAACUUACCACUGACAUAAGGUUGGAGUGCAGUGGCACGAUCUCGGCUCAGUGCAACCUCCGCCUCCUGAGUUCAAGUGAUUCUCCUGCCUCAGCCUCCCUAGUAGCUGGGAUUACAGGACAAGGAGAGGGACAAAUUCCUUCUUGGCAUCCUUAUGGCCCUGUGACCUGCUAAUGAAUGCUGACUCUGAGUUGCUACUAGAAUUUGGUUUCCUUGUGGCUUCCCAGGAAUUGGUCUCACUCUGCUCACUCUGUCUCCCAAGCUGGAGUGCAGUGGUACAGUCACGGCUCACUGCAGCCUCCACUUCCUGGACUCAAGUGAUCUUCUCACUUCAGCCUUCUGAGUAGCUGGGACUACAGCCCCCUCUGCAGCUCUUCAUGGGGGUCCACUCAAGUCAGAAGCCACAUUUGGGUGUGAUUCAGAGAGCUGUUUAUGCAAAACCAGCUUUGUCACCAUCAGGCAAGGCACCUGAAUUCCCACCGCAGAGAGUGUUGUGGCCGUGAGGACUUUUCUGUCACCAGCCAUUUCCAGGUAGACCCAGUGUAAUCACAAGCAUCCUUGUAAGUGGCAAAGAGGCAGAGGAGACAGCGCCAGAGAGGCAGCUGCAUGAGAAGGAUCAAGAUGUUGCUGACUUUGAAGUUGGAAGAAGAAGGCCAUGAGCCUCAGUAUGUGGGCGGCUUCUAGAAGCUGGAAGGGGCAAGGAGAUGGAUUUGACCCUUCAGCCUCCAGGGGCAGCUGUACCUGCCAUCACUGAUUGUAGCCUGGUGAGGCCUGUUUUAGACUUCUGACCUGUAGAGCUGUAACAUAAUACAUUUGGGUUGUUUUCAACCACUAAGUUUGUGGUAAUUUGUUGUAGCAGCUGUAGAAAAUGAAUACAUAUGAAUCCUCUGGCAUUUGUUUGAGAUUUGCUCUAUGGCCUAGUAUGUGGUUGUAAAUGUUCCAUCUGUGCCUGAAAAAAUGUAUAUUUCUAAUUCAGUAGUCUCUGCUUUUUUUUUUUAUUUUGUACCCCAUCAAUAAAAUGAUUUUCAGCAUGUAUCCCCAAAUAAACAAUAUUUUAUUUAUUGAUUGAUUGAUAAACAGACAUGUUUAAUGAUAGCUUGCUUUUCACAGAGGUGACUUCGGAGACUUCUAAUCUAUAAUCCAGGAGUAUAUAACCAUG